UAUUGCCUUGAUGCAGCAAAUGCAACAAAAUGCAUGUGAAAAUGUACAUCACUCUCAGCAGAGCAAGUAUGCAGGUACACUGAGUGGGCGCCGUUACCUUUGUUGUGCAUGCAUAAACAAGCUUUAUUGUGAAAAAUGACGCUUCAAGAUCGGACUGCAUUAGCAAUUAAAUAAUUUGUUUGUGAAAAAAAAACUGUUAAUAGUGAAAUUUAACAAUUUUAAACAUGAUAAAACUCAAAGUUAAAAGAAAAUUAAGUACAAAGCUGUAAAUAGUGAUGAAAACUUUAGAAUAAUAAAGCGAAGAUUAGGGACAAAAUAUAUUAGGCGGCACUUAAGUGUUAACUUAUUUGUGUGUUUUUAGUGCUUAGGAAAAGAAAAUUUCUAAGGGAAAAUGUGCAUACAAAUGACAAAGAGUUUGGAGUUCUUCAGUUGUAAUGAUAUGACUAAAAGUUAUUCAACAAUGCGAAAAUGAAGAGGACAUUUUAAUGCUCGAUGACGGAACUCAAAGAAAGCAACGAGUGCUAUUCAGCAAGGGGAAAUCAGCAAAUAAUGUUGCACAUCACGGACCAAUGUAUGGGGCGAUAUAAAUAAUCUGUAUUUCUAAGUAAAUUAUAUUUUAAC